rnacentral:rRNA from 1 species
UACGAGAGGCCCAAACAUUAUUCGGAAUUACUGGGCUUAAAGAGUUCGUAGGCGGCGCGGAAAGUAGGGUGUGAAAGCCCUCGGCUUAACCGAGGAAUUGCGCUCUAAACUGCCGUGCUAGAGGAAGCUAGAGGUGAGCGGAACUGAUGGUGGAGCGGUGAAAUGCGUUGAUAUCGGAAGGAACGCCGGCGGCGAAAGCGGCUUGCUGGACCUCAUCUGACGCUGAUGCGCGAAAGCUAGGGGAGCGAACGGG